CUUCUCUUCCUCCUUUUUCUCUUUGCCCAGUAGUCGGUAGUUAAGUCCCAUCCCGAGGAACAGGAACACGCUGGCAACAAUAAGGACGAUGCCACAGCCCUGCACACAUGCUACGAUUGAGUGCUAUGCCUGUAGUUUGGAAAGCACGGGUUAUUUCUCAAAUUCAAAGGGGUAAAUGCUCUCCGAGAAGCUCGGCCGCUAAAGCCACGCUCAGCAGGAUCCAGGAGGACGCCCAUCUUGAACCACCUGCUCCCCCGCCGCCCGAGGUUGUGCGGCCUGUGGCAAGAGGAGGAGCAGAUGUUUCCUCACAAUGGCCCGUCUCUAGAAGCUGCAAGCGCAGGAAACUCUCGCUCCCUCUCACUUUCAAACACACACACACAUACACACUUGCACACACGUGCACACGCACGAGUGUGCACACACACGCGUGCAACGCGCAGUUCUUUCAAAAUCUGUUCUCAUUUGUUCACAAAUCUUCCAUUUUUUGGGGGGUUGAAACUUGUUGUUCAUAUUUUGUCCCUCAGAAUAAAAUUAUAAUUUUUUUUUUAAAUCAAACCUUAAUAAACUAG